rnacentral:lncRNA from 1 species
ACUGUCAAUCGCACAUCACCGUUUCAGUAGUACACGGUCACGGUUCAUAGACAUUUACUACGGUUGCCUACUCCGACUGUGGUGAGGAGACUUAAAUUUUUGACUUACGUCACAAGAGUACACAAGACCAUUUUUAAAUUUGUUGCGCGUCCAUGACUCCAUUCCGUAGAACAGCACAGGAAGUACGUAACAUCUCAUCAGGCGAAGUUUCAUUUCGAGGCUCAAAUUUCUUCCACAGAACACUCUCUUCAUUUUAGUGAAUAUGUGAAUAUACUGUAAACCGUGGUACACAGUAGUAUUAUCAUCACUUUCAAUAUGAUGUGAGUCUAAUUUCUCUGGCAAUAAAACCAAUGGUUUCAGGAUAAUAAAUCAUUUUUUUUAAAACAGACGAUCUACUGGGGUCAUCUCCAUUGUCAAAGAAGAAGAAGAUUCAACUGUACCAAGCUUACGUGAGGUC